CGUGUAGGCGGCCGAGCAAGUCAAGUGUGAAAAGCCCCGGCUUAACCGAGGCAUUGCACAUGAAACUGCAUGGCUUGAGUGCAGGAGAGGGAAGUGGAAUUCCUAGUGUAGCGGUGAAAUGCGUAGAUAUUAGGAGGAACACCAGUGGCGAAGGCGACUUCCUGGACUGUAACUGACGCUGAGGCGCGAAAGCGUGGGUAGCAAACAG
rnacentral:rRNA from 1 species